rnacentral:rRNA from 1 species
AUCUGCAGUCGAGCGAACUGAUUAGAAGCUUGCUUCUAUGACGUUAGCGGCGGACGGGUGAGUAACACGUGGGCAACCUGCCUGUAAGACUGGGAUAACUUCGGGAAACCGAAGCUAAUACCGGAUAGGAUCUUCUCCUUCAUGGGAGAUGAUUGAAAGAUGGUUUCGGCUAUCACUUACAGAUGGGCCCGCGGUGCAUUAGCUAGUUGGUGUGGUAACGGCUCACCAAGGCAACGAUGCAUAGCCGACCUGAGAGGGUGAUCGGCCACACUGGGACUGAGACACGGCCCAGACUCCUACGGGAGGCAGCAGUAGGGAAUCUUCCGCAAUGGACGAAAGUCUGACGGAGCAACGCCGCGUGAGUGAUGAAGGCUUUCGGGUCGUAAAACUCUGUUGUUAGGGAAGAACAAGUACAAGAGUAACUGCUUGUACCUUGACGGUACCUAACCAGAAAGCCACGGCUAACUACGUGCCAGCAGCCGCGGUAAUACGUAGGUGGCAAGCGUUAUCCGGAAUUAUUGGGCGUAAAGCGCGCGCAGGCGGUUUCUUAAGUCUGAUGUGAAAGCCCACGGCUCAACCGUGGAGGGUCAUUGGAAACUGGGGAACUUGAGUGCAGAAGAGAAAAGCGGAAUUCCACGUGUAGCGGUGAAAUGCGUAGAGAUGUGGAGGAACACCAGUGGCGAAGGCGGCUUUUUGGUCUGUAACUGACGCUGAGGCGCGAAAGCGUGGGGAGCAAACAGGAUUAGAUUCCCUGGUAGUCCACGCCGUAAACGAUGAGUGCUAAGUGUUAGAGGGUUUCCGCCCUUUAGUGCUGCAGCUAACGCAUUAAGCACUCCGCCUGGGGAGUACG